CAAUAAUUGAGCGUGAAACUACUUUAAAGUCCUUCUAAAUUAAAAAGAAGAGAUUAAAAUGAACACAGACAGAGUUUGUUCCAAUACAAGCUGUGCCAUUGUACAGGGAGAAGCAGCAGUUUCCCAGCACCUGGUGACAUCAUAAGGAACCCUCCAAGUGUUUCCUGGAAGCAACAAACCCAGUUAUCUUCAACCGACGUGGGGGAAAUAAGAUUUAAGGAGCGUCUCUAAAUGUGGCCGAGGGCGCGACAUCCACCGUGCCUUUGGCUCCGGACGAUCACAGGAUGAAGAAGGAUCCUUCAUCUUCUUCAUCAUGUUGUUUCUCCAGAGAGGGACGAGACUGGAGACGGGCUGUUUUAACAAGAAGGAGCUCUUCUGGACGCAUCUAUCAACCAAGAAAAAACAAAACAAUUGGCUGUGACAGGCCAGACCACAACCUGCUGCCAUUGGCCAAAGUGAAGAGGAUGAUGUGCGUCAACUUCAAAACACUGAGAAGAGGCUACGACGGGGGGGGGGGAGAAAAGGACA